rnacentral:rRNA from 1 species
CCCUUAGAUGUUCUGGGCUGCACGCGUGCUACACUGAUAUUGCCAAUAUGUCAUUCUUAUCCGAAAUGGAUUGGGUAAUCAAGUAGUGAAAUUUCAUGCUUGGAAUCGGUAAUUGCAAUUUUAUCGUGAACGAGGAAUUCCUAGUAAGCACUAGUCAUCAGCUAAUGUUGAUUAUGUCCCUGCCCUUUGUACACACCGCCCGUCGCUACUACUGAUUGGGUGUUCAAGUGAGAUGCUUAGACCCUUGUUGCAUGGUUCAUUAUUGUGCUCCGAAAGGAAAAAGUUUCAAGCUUGAGUGUCUAGAGGAAGUAAAAGUCGUAACA